rnacentral:rRNA from 1 species
UAGGGAAUCUUCGGCAAUGGACGAAAGUCUGACCGAGCAACGCCGCGUGAGUGAAGAAGGUUUUCGGAUCGUAAAACUCUGUUGUUAGAGAAGAACAAGGACGUUAGUAACUGAACGUCCCCUGACGGUAUCUAACCAGAAAGCCACGGCUAACUACGUGCCAGCAGCCGCGGUAAUACGUAGGUGGCAAGCGUUGUCCGGAUUUAUUGGGCGUAAAGCGAGCGCAGGCGGUUUCUUAAGUCUGAUGUGAAAGCCCCCGGCUCAACCGGGGAGGGUCAUUGGAAACUGGGACACUUGAGUGCAGAAGAGGAGAGUGGAAUUCCAUGUGUAGCGGUGAAAUGCGUAGAUAUAUGGAGGAACACCAGUGGCAAAGGCGGCUCUCUGGUCUGUAACUAACGCUAAGGCUCGAAAGCGUGGGGAGCAAACAGG